CGUCAAAUACGGAAAAGAUGCAGUCGCCAUUUUACAUCGUCGAUUUUUACGUCGUGUGUGUGCACUGCAGUUACUUUGCGAGUUGAAUUCUUACUACGUGGGCGUAAAACAUUUAGUGGCAUAUUUUUAUUAAUUUUUAAUUGGUAAAAGUUGAUAAGAGAAUAUGGGACGCAAAAAGAAGAAGCAAUCAAGACCCUGGUGCUGGUAUUGUAAUAGAGAAUUUGAAGAUGAAAAGAUUCUUAUACAACACCAGAAAGCAAAACAUUUCAAAUGCCACAUAUGUCAUAAGAAGCUUUAUACGGGACCAGGACUUAGUAUACAUUGUAUGCAGGUACAUAAAGAAGCGAUAGACAAGGUACCUAAUUCUUUGCCGAAUCGAAGCAAUAUUGAAAUAGAAAUUUAUGGUAUGGAAGGCAUACCACCAAACGAUGCAAAAGAACAUGAAAGACAGAGGAAUGGAGGUAGACCUGGUUCACCAAGUUCUGGUGAAGAUGAACCAGUUCGAAAAAAAGCAAAACCAGAAGGUUUAUUAGGUUCUGCACCAGGAGCAAUGCCUACAGGUUCCAACAUGAUGCCAGGUGUAAUGCCAGGUAUGGCAGCUCAUCCUGGUAUGCCACCAAUGGGAUCGUUCCCACCACCCAUGCAUCAUAUGAUGGGACCUAUGGGUCCUGUAGGUCCACCUUUCAUGGGUCCUGGUAUGAUGCCUGGAAUGCCGGGUAUGCCUCCAGGUAUACAACCACCAGUAUCUGGUGCAUCCAUACCACCAACACGACCAUUAUUUCCAAGUGCUGCAGCUGUUUCAACAACUGCGUCUACAUCUGUGACUUCUCCUUUGGGUACAGAUUUUAAACCAAUUACGUCAGUGGCUGGUGGAUCUAUAGGACCUGUGAAGCCAACAUUCCCUGCAUAUAGUAAUACAGAUAGUAGUACCACUACUAACAAUAAUAUUGGUAGUGAUCAAAAAGUAAAUCUUAUAGCCACUACUAGUGCUGCCAUUAAAAUUAUUCAUCCGCCAGAAGAUCUCAGCCUAGAGGAAAUUAGAGCAAGACUUCCAAAAUACCAGCGGCGACAAACGCAAGAAACUCGAACUGUGCAAACUGCUGAUGCCAAUCAGCAAGCUGCUGCAUUACAACAGCAGCAGCAGCAGCAACAACAGCAGCAACAGCAACAACAAGCUGCUGUUGCUAAUGCAGCUGCUGCAUUUCAGGAUCAGCAACAGCGACAACAAGCGGCAUUAAAUGCACUUCAGCAGCAACAGCAGAGAUUUCAGCGACCUCCACAAGCAGUAAUGGUUCCUGCAUCUGCAGCAAUGCCUGUUAGUUCCGUUGCACUGAUGGCACCGCUUAUGCGGCCCACUAUGACCCUAGCUGCACCUGCUCUGAUUCAUGGAGGUAACAUGAUGCGACCGCCCCCCAUGGGCCUACCACCAGGGAUGAUCGGAGCUUUGCCGCCAGGAGCGAUGCAUCCGGCAUUCGCAGCUCCAAUGGGGUUUCCUGGUGCACCAAUGUUAGCUCCGAUGAUGCAUCCACGCUUCAGAUGAUCACCUCCUAUGGACGGGCCCACUCCGCCAUUGCACUUCGUGCUCUGGGCCCGCCCCUAAAUUUUAUUAGGGUCCGGACCUGACUGAGAAGAAGAGACAAGCACGCGUAAAACACGUUAGCUCACGUGGGCACACUUCGUUGAUCGGCCGCGGCUGCACUUGACGCAUCCCCUCCUACGAAGUUUACACGAAAGAAACGGAAAUCGGGCACGUAAACGUAUUACGAAAGUGUGGCGAAGACGGUGCAAGAGGAGGCUGCAAACUAAAGCCAUGGGGGAGAUAUUUUCUCCUUACUGUAUGUUGACGAUAAUAGAGAUUAUGAAUUAUUGUACAAAGUUAAUUGUAAUUCAGUUGGUUUAACUGUGAAAAUACGAAUUCGUCUAAAUCACUUUUUUCACUUCCUAAAGGUUCAUCACCUCAGUAGGCACCCUGUUUGUCUAUUCUUUCUCUCGACUUCUAUCAUUACUUCGAGAAAAAUUAUGAAACAGCAUACCGCGCCGUACAACACGUGUACGUACCUAAAACAACUACGCAUCGUUAUGAAUAUACUUCAUUUUCAGGGGUUGUCUUUCCGAAUCGUGUCUUUCCGCUCUGCUGUCGUUUCAUCGGAAUCAGAGGUGAUCUACCGUGUCUACUUUUAACAGGCCGAUAGAAUUCAGUGCUGCGGAAACACUCCCAGCCUCGAAAAUCGUUUCACGUCUCUCGAGGCUGUUCAACUACGGCCAGACAUUGUUUCUUUUAUUUCGUUUUGAUUGUGAGAUUCGGCAGGACAAUCUGACGACAGAAUUGGACAUGUAGAAGUUCUGUUAUUUAUUGAGUGUCACAUUAUCAACUUGUUCCGAAUAAAGACGUUCUGUGGAAAGUUCGAAAGAUUGGGUAUAGUCUGUCAUUCUGGGAACUAUUUCCUUUCAACAUAUUUCUCUUUCCGCUAGAACGAAAAUAUACUUAAUACGUGUAUCGCAUAUGUAACUGAUUUUAAUACAUGCACGCGUAUAUUAUUUCUUAUUGUCGUUUUUUUAUUACUAUCUUAUUACGUACAUGUACAUAGACGAAACGGUUCAAUCUACGUAUGUAUUUCACUUCAUUUAUAUUUUCCUCUCAUUGCACAAUACAAGUUCUAGGUAAAAAGAUAAAAAUGAUAGAAGAGGUACAUUGAUAAAUUUUGUCCCAGAAUGGCGGGCGAUAGCCACAUAUUGUUUCAACCAAUCACAGCUCUGACCGCUGUUGGACCUUAUGGGUCCCUUGCCUGAAGGCAGGCGAUUGUUUGGACCUACCGUCCUAAAGUCGAGGUACUUGUUUUAUUCCCAAUUAUAUUAAUUAGAAUUUUGAAAUAUUUUUCUGUAUGUUAUUCAAUAUUUUGUCGUUGAAUCGAUAGUUAAUCCUAUAUACGUUACAUCGAUCAUAUUUUUUUAAACGACCACUUGUUCGAAAGUAAAAUUUAGUUUGCAAAAUGCAAUUGGUAAAUUAGAGAUAAAAUAGAUUGGGAACUAUCAUAACCUUGGCUGCGUGGACGCGUGGCUGGACCGAGAAACAAUAUCAAUUGUAAUCGAUAAUGAGUCGUGGGUAAAUCGUGUUAACUGACUCGAUCGUUCGAAAUGUUGGAACGAGAAAAUUCUCCCGAAGUUUUUUGCGAAUAAAACAACUUUUUCAUUCCUGACCUUUAUUUUGUUUUAUUAUUAUUGUCGUUGUUGUUGUUGUUAUUGUUAUCAUCAUCAUCAUCAUCAUCAUCAUCAAUCACUAUUACUAUUAUUGUUAUUCUAUUAUUAUUUCAAAUUUAUUGUUUUCGUCAAAUAGCCUUCAGAAUUUUGCCAAUCGAGGCGACACUUGUAAUGUAAUAAUUUACUUUGGAAUGUUUCAAAUGCUGCUGAAAGCGGUAUAAAAGUCGGUGCCUUUCUUUUUUUCUCGUUCAACAAUUCGAUCGUUCGUAGAAUGCUUAGCUGGCUCUGUGUGUAUAUCGAUACACCUGUAUCUUACGUUGCGCAAGAAUCCUUCAUCAUCCUGUUCCUUUUUACGCUAAUAAUGUCUUUCCACUUGGUGACAGCGGAUGCACGAUUCGCUCGUGGGGAUCGCUUUGCUCGAAGAACCGGUAACACGGUGGCUCUUUGUCAUUCUAAUAUCUUUAUAGAGCGGCUCGAAGCACCGGAAAUUAAGUGCUACCUUUAAAACGAUAUUAGAACUACCGACCUUCCACUUCACCAUAAUAUAAUUUCCUUAUAUUUUCUGUGUGUAUCUAUCGUUUCUAGAUUUUGUCUCUUCAUCAAGUAGUUUAUUGUAUGCGGAUUUGAUGGUCAAGUGACAAUGUAUAAGUCUUUUUUACACGGUACAAAAUUCAGUUGAACCGCAAUUUAUAGAAAAUUAGGUUAAAUCUGCGAUUCAGUUGAUUAUUAUUUGAAUCUAUUUGUAUUUGUUUACUUUAAAAUUUGUUUAUCACUAUACGAUUUGUACGAUGCAAAUAUCGAAAUCGAAUUUUAGGUUGCACUUUAUUCCUGCACGGACCGCUUACAGAAAUUAGCAGUAGUUUCUACUCUUCUACAGCCUUGUUGUUUUCAGCUGACUGCGCCUGAGUAGAAUGGACAAUUGUUGUCAAAGGACUAUAGAGAGCAAUAGGUGAUACGUACACCUGUAUCUCGUUGAAAUAAUCAAUAAAUGAUAAUUGUUUGAUAACA